UGGGGCGUGGCCAAGUGGUAAGGCAGCAGGUUUUGGUCCUGUUACUCGGAGGUUCAAAUCCUUCCGCCCCAGA
rnacentral:tRNA from 1 species